rnacentral:rRNA from 1 species
GGAAUCUUCCACAAUGGGCGAAAGCCUGAUGGAGCAACGCCGCGUGUGUGAUGAAGGGUUUCGGCUCGUAAAGCUCUGUUGUUAAAGAAGAACACGUAUGAGAGUAACUGUUCAUACGUUGACGGUAUUUAACCAGAAAGUCACGGCUAACUACGUGCUAG